UAGAUGAAGCAUGUCUUCAUGUGGGCUGGGCAAAAUUCAUCCAAUGACAGAUUUUUAAAGCCCUGAUGAUAAGACAUGUAAGGGUUUCUGCAUUUCACCAAGAUCACUGCAGACGGAGAAACUUCAGGGAGCGAUUUCCUAACAACUCUCAGUCGGCCAACAGGAACCAGAGGUGUUAUGGAUCAGGAAAGCCACCUGUCCUCAGAGGAAGAAGCUGGAGAACCUUCAGUCGUCAUCGGUCUGGUUCUGCUACGGCUCCAGCAUGCAGUCGUCCUGUGGUUCUCCAGGGCAAGACGCAGACUCCUGCAGGGGUUCACUGUGUUCUCCACGGUGCUUCUGCUCCUCUGGAUCGCAACUUUUCUAUACGGGACCUUCUACUACUCCUACAUGCCCAAAGCGGCUUUUUCUGCACCGGUAUACUACUACUACAG